GACAGAGGUGCCAAGCGUUAGGCGGAAUCACUGGGCUUAAAGCGUGUGUAGGCGGAUCGUUAAGUCCCGUGUGAAAGCCCCCGGCUCAACUGGGGAACUGCACGGGAAACUGACGGACUUGAGUUCGGGAGAGGGAAGCGGAAUUCCGGGUGUAGCGGUGAAAUGCGUAGAUAUCGUGAGGAACACCAGAGGCGAAGGCGGCUACCUGGACAAUUGCUGACGCUCAGGCACGAAAGCGUGGGGAGCAAAAGGG
rnacentral:rRNA from 1 species